rnacentral:rRNA from 1 species
AACGACUGCUAAUACUCUAUACUCCUGCUUAACACAAGUUGAGUAGGGAAAGUUUUUCGGUGUAGGAUGAGACUAUAUAGUAUCAGCUAGUUGGUAAGGUAAUGGCUUACCAAGGCUAUGACGCUUAACUGGUCUGAGAGGAUGAUCAGUCACACUGGAACUGAGACACGGUCCAGACUCCUACGGGAGGCAGCAGUAGGGAAUAUUGCGCAAUGGGGGAAACCCUGACGCAGCAACGCCGCGUGGAGGAUGACACUUUUCGGAGCGUAAACUCCUUUUCUUAGGGAAGAAUUCUGACGGUACCUAAGGAAUAAGCACCGGCUAACUCCGUGCCAGCAGCCGCGGUAAUACGGAGGGUGCAAGCGUUACUCGGAAUCACUGGGCGUAAAGGGCGCGUAGGCGGAUUAUCAAGUCUCUUGUGAAAUCUAAUGGCUUAACCAUUAAACUGCUUGGGAAACUGAUAGUCUAGAGUGAGGGAGAGGCAGAUGGAAUUGGUGGUGUAGGGGUAAAAUCCGUAGAUAUCACCAAGAAUACCCAUUGCGAAGGCGAUCUGCUGGAACUCAACUGACGCUAAGGCGCGAAAGCGUGGGGAGCAAACAGGAUUAGAUACCCUGGUAGUCCACGCCCUAAACGAUGUACACUAGUUGUUGGGGUGCUAGUCAUCUCAGUAAUGCAGCUAACGCAUUAAGUGUACCGCCUGGGGAGUACGGUCGCAAGAUUAAAACUCAAAGGAAUAGACGGGGACCCGCACAAGCGGUGGAGCAUGUGGUUUAAUUCGAAGAUACGCGAAGAACCUUACCUGGGCUUGAUAUCCUAAGAACCUUUUAGAGAUAAGAGGGUGCUAGCUUGCUAGAACUUAGAGACAGGUGCUGCACGGCUGUCGUCAGCUCGUGUCGUGAGAUGUUGGGUUAAGUCCCGCAACGAGCGCAACCCACGUAUUUAGUUGCUAACGGUUCGGCCGAGCACUCUAAAUAGACUGCCUUCGUAAGGAGGAGGAAGGUGUGGACGACGUCAAGUCAUCAUGGCCCUUAUGCCCAGGGCGACACACGUGCUACAAUGGCAUAUACAAUGAGACGCAAUACCGCGAGGUGGAGCAAAUCUAUAAAAUAUGUCCCAGUUCGGAUUGUUCUCUGCAACUCGAGAGCAUGAAGCCGGAAUCGCUAGUAAUCGUAGAUCAGCCAUGCUACGGUGAAUACGUUCCCGGGUCUUGUACUCACCGCCCGUCACACCAUGGGAGUUGAUUUCACUCGAAGCCGGAAUACUAAACUAGUUACCGUCCACAGUGGAAUCAGCGACUGGGGUGAAGUCGUAACAAGGUAACCGUAGGAGAACCUGCGGUUGGAUCACCUCCUUUCUA